CUGAAUCACCCUGUUUCCCUCGA
rnacentral:siRNA from 1 species